rnacentral:rRNA from 1 species
UACGAAGGGGGCUAGCGUUGCUCGGAUUCACUGGGCGUAAAGGGUGCGUAGGCGGUGAGGUAAGUCGGAUGUGAAAUCUCCGAGCUCAACUCGGAAAUGGCAUUGGAAACUACCUCGCUAGAGAGUUGGAGGGGGGACUGGAAUACUUGGUGUAGCAGUGAAAUGCGUAGAUAUCAAGUGGAACACCAGUGGCGAAGGCGAGUCCCUGGACAACUUCUGACGCUGAGGCACGAAAGCUAGGGGAGCAAACAGG